UACAGAGGGUGCGAGCGUUAAUCGGAAUUACUGGGCGUAAAGCGUGCGUAGACGGUAGCGUAAGUCAGAUGUGAAAGCCCCGGGCUCAACCUGGGAAUUGCAUUUGAGACUGCUCUGCUCGGGUGCGGAAGAGGGAAGCGGAAUUUCCGGUGUAGCGGUGAAAUGCGUAGAUAUCGGGAGGAACACCAGUGGCGAAGGCGAGUCUCUGGGAUGAUGCUGACGCUGAGGCGCGAAAGCCAGGGGAGCAAACGGG
rnacentral:rRNA from 1 species